rnacentral:rRNA from 1 species
AUGCACGCAGACGCGGCCAAGGCAUGGGCGGCUGCGGUCAACACGGCGGUCUCCUCCCUCCCUCCCUCCUGCACGCACGCACGCAUGCCGCCGAUGCGGCUGCAGUGGCAGGCAUCAGGUCCUCGCUUCAAGAAGAGAAAAGGACACACGUCGGGCGCAAACAGCAUCCCAUUUUUUGGUCGAUGGCUGACUGAAUUUCAGAUGUUUUGGCUAUGGAAGAUAGAAAAUGGGAUCAGCACCAGCAGUGGUCGUGCCGGAGUGCGCAAUCAACCGGCACCGCCUUCCGGGGCCGCCGCCCCGACAACCACCGCUCCGCUCGAGCAGCAACACCGCACAACCCAGCUGCCCGCAGCCCACGCUGCCCGGGGCAACCGCUCGCAGACCACGAACGUCGCACCACAUCCGGGGCCGCCGCCCCGACGUAAAGUCAGACCGCCCCCUCUAGGGCGCAUCGACCGAGUCAACACCCCUACCGCCCAAGCGGGACAAGGAUGCCACCCAACCAAUGUCGAGAUAGAGCCCCACCUCAUAGAGCUGCAGCUCACAUUGUUCCCGAGAUCGCCAUCUCGACGCACAAUCAGAAACCACCCGGAGCCGCCGCCCCGACGUCCACUGUCCCUGACGACGAAUAGAUUCGUGCAAACUGCAGCACAUCCCCCGCCCAUCCAGAUCGAAGACGAGGUGAGCCGCCCCCACGGCUAUGCUCCCCACCAUCGCGUCGCCCGGCACACGGCCCACGCUAUGCCGCUGCGCGAGACUGCGCCAGAGAGCCACCGCACCGCUGCUUCCACCGCCAGCACCACAUCCUGCCGAGGUCGCCCCGCCCUGCAUCGGGGCCACCGCGCGAGGCGACGAGAACGCCCCGCUUUGCUUGGCCGCACCCUGUGGCGGCGGCGAGGGAUGAGGAGCGGGGUGGAGGAGGCCUCUGGCGGCGGCGACUUGGUCGCCCUCCCUGUCGCACGCGGGGCGACGCGGGAGGGAUUGAUGUGGAAGAAGUUCAUAGGCCGUGGGUUUUUUCGCCUCAUCUUCCACCACCGUCCCCCUGUCCUCGGGCAACAGAACUACUACUCGAGCGCUGGCUACUCGGAUUUGAGCACGUCGAGGGACACGAAACCGCCGAGGAUGCCGCAACAGGCGUCGUGGCCACAGGCGCACGCUGCUGUGUACGUUGAGGACGAGGAGCACUCGGACUCCGGCGGCCUGACAGCACCAACUCGCAGCACUCCACCGUCGUAG